AGAUGUGAGAGACACCUGACGGCAACACUUUUCACUCCUAUAUCACCAGGGUUGGAUUAACUACUUGCUAGGUGACCACAUGCUCCCUUCCCUUCUCCUUCCUCUUUGGCCUCUUGUGUGUUCCUCUGCANUUUGUCUACUCUGUGGAAGAGGAUGACCUUCCCCAAUGUUCUUUGGUUGAGGGUAUAUAAGGAGUUGCUCAACCCUACUAGAACCUCCAAGCAAUCUCUUAAAGUCAUUUUGUAGGAGAAAGUGGGUAGUUAAGCUUCCAAGACUUCAGACACAAAGAAAUGAAAUGUUACAUCAAGGCAUCUGGCUUU
rnacentral:snRNA from 1 species